UUGGCGAUAGUUGCCAUAGAGGAAGAGCAACAAAAUAAUGUGAAUUCAGAAUCCGAUCAGCAAAAAGAAAAUGCCGACACCAACAUCAACGACAACAAUGUAAGUGGCUCCGAGAAUAUAGGUAAUUCAUCGGAUGCACAAGGACAGUCUCCUAGUGUUGAUGAACCAGUAUAUACUCCUGAUAUUUAUGAUCCAAGAAAUUGGGAUAAUCUUGACAAUAAAGCAAGAGAUGUAUUAGUUGAGAAAGGGCCAAUGAGAGAGGAAGAGGAUAAAAUGGAAUACUGUGUAGAUGAUGCAGGAAGACAUUUUUCCUAUGUUCAUUAUCAUAGGAAAUUAAGGGAGAAACAUGAUAGAAAAUGGCUAGUUUAUUCAGAAGGUGUUGACAAAGUUUUUUGCUUUUGUUGUAAGAUCUUCAAGUCUAGCCGUAGCAGGAGUUAG
rnacentral:rRNA from 1 species